GCUCCAGGUAAAUCCUGGUCCUUCUUGGUGGCUGUAUGAUCUUAAGUAAGCCCAUUUUGCUUCAAUUUUCUUAUCUAGAAAAUGGGGAUAAUAACACCCAUGUUAUAGAGUUAUUCUGAUGAUUUCUAAGAGUCUCAGAGACCUAGGAUCCACAAAAUCAAAACAACAAAACCAAGCCUUUGUGCACAUCUGUGGUUGUGACCAGUUGGAGAGACAUUAGGAGAUGAGAUACUAUGUUCACUCCUCACAGCUGUACCAGGGACCUGAGAUAUUCCGUCACUAUUCUAUGAAUGGUCUGGCUUGAUGAUAUCCAACCUGACGUGGCCUGAAGAGACAGACAGUGGCUCUUGCUAGCUAAUUAUUGUCAGAUGGAUCGGCAGCCGACCAACGCUUCUGAAACUAUUGUUUUUGGCAAAUGUUCCUCAACAUUUUCCUGGUAUAUAAAUAAUGAUCCCUUGCAGAAAGUCA
rnacentral:lncRNA from 1 species